rnacentral:rRNA from 1 species
GCAGCCUGAUGCAGCAACGCCGCGUGAGGGAUGACGGCCUUCGGGUUGUAAACCUCUUUUAGUAGGGAAGAAGCGAAAGUGACGGUACCUGCAGAAAAAGCACCGGCUAACUACGUGCCAGCAGCCGCGGUAAUACGUAGGGUGCAAGCGUUGUCCGGAAUUAUUGGGCGUAAAGAGCUCGUAGGCGGUUUGUCGCGUCUGCUGUGAAAACUGGAGGCUCAACCUCCAGCCUGCAGUGGGUACGGGCAGACUAGAGUGCGGUAGGGGAGAUUGGAAUUCCUGGUGUAGCGGUGGAAUGCGCAGAUAUCAGGAGGAACACCGAUGGCGAAGGCAGAUCUCUGGGCCGUAACUGACGCUGAGGAGCGAAAGCAUGGGGAGCGAACAGGAUUAGAUACCCUGGUAGUCCAUGCCGUAAACGUUGGGAACUAGAUGUGGGGACCAUUCCACGGUCUCCGUGUCGCAGCUAACGCAUUAAGUUCCCCGCCUGGGGAGUACGGCCGCAAGGCUAAAACUCAAAGGAAUUGACGGGGGCCCGCACAAGCGGCGGAGCAUGCGGAUUAAUUCGAUGCAACGCGAAGAACCUUACCAAGGCUUGACAUAUACCGGAAACGGCCAGAGAUGGUCGCCCCGCAAGGUC